rnacentral:rRNA from 1 species
UACAGAGGGUGCGAGCGUUAAUCGGAAUUACUGGGCGUAAAGCGUGCGUAGACGGUUAUUUAAGUCGGGUGUGAAAGCCCCGGGCUCAACCUGGGAAUUGCAUUCGAGACUGAAUAGCUAGGGUACGGUAGAGGGAAGUGGAAUUUCCGGUGUAGAGGUGAAAUUCGUAGAUAUUCGGCGGAACACCAGUGGCGAAGGCGACUCACUGGCCCGAUACUGACGCUGAGGCGCGAAAGCGUGGGGAGCAAACAGG